rnacentral:rRNA from 1 species
UACGAAGGGGGCUAGCGUUGUUCGGAAUCACUGGGCGUAAAGCGCACGUAGGCGGAUCGUUAAGUCAGGGGUGAAAUCCCGAGGCUCAACCUCGGAACUGCCUUUGAUACUGGCGAUCUUUGAGUCCGGGAGAGGUGAGUGGAACUCCGAGUGUAGAGGUGAAAUUCGUAGAUAUUCGGAAGAACACCAGUGGCGAAGGCGGCUCACUGGCCCGGUACUGACGCUCAUGUGCGAAAGCGUGGGGAGCAAACAGG